rnacentral:rRNA from 1 species
AGCGAACGCUGGCGGCAGGCCUAACACAUGCAAGUCGAACGAAGUCUUCGGACUUAGUGGCGGACGGGUGAGUAACACGUGGGAACGUGCCUUUAGGUUCGGAAUAACUCAGGGAAACUUGUGCUAAUACCGAAUGUGCCCUUCGGGGGAAAGAUUUAUCGCCUUUAGAGCGGCCCGCGUCUGAUUAGCUAGUUGGUGGGGUAAUGGCCCACCAAGGCUACGAUCAGUAGCUGGUCUGAGAGGAUGACCAGCCACAUUGGGACUGAGACACGGCCCAAACUCCUACGGGAGGCAGCAGUGGGGAAUCUUGCGCAAUGGGCGAAAGCCUGACGCAGCCAUGCCGCGUGGAUGAUGAAGGUCUUAGGAUUGUAAAAUCCUUUCACCGGUGAAGAUAAUGACUGUAGCCGGAGAAGAGGCCCCGGCUAACUUCGUGCCAGCCGCCGCCGUAAGAC